rnacentral:rRNA from 1 species
GUUAUCGUUUAUUUGAUGGUACCUUACUACUUGGAUAACCGUGGUAAUUCUAGAGCUAAUACAUGCUAAAAGCCUCGACUUCGGGAGGGGUGUAUUUAUUAGAUAAAAAACCAAUGCCCUUCGGGGCUCCUUGGUGAUUCAUAAUAACUUAACGAAUCGCAUGGCCUUGUGCCGGCGAUGGUUCAUUCAAAUUUCUGCCCUAUCAACUUUCGAUGGUAGGAUAGUGGCCUACCAUGGUUUUAACGGGUAACAGGGAAUUAGGGUUCUAUUCCGGAGAGGGAGCCUGAGAAACGGCUACCACAUCCAAGGAAGGCAGCAGGCGCGCAAAUUACCCAAUCCCAAUACGGGGAGGUAGUGACAAUAAAUACUGAUACAGGGCUCUUUUGGGUCUUGUAAUUGGAAUGAGUACAAUUUAAAUCUCUUAACGAGGAACAAUUGGAGGGCAAGUCUGGUGCCAGCAGCCGCGGUAAUUCCAGCUCCAAUAGCGUAUAUUAAAGUUGUUGCAGUUAAAAAGCUCGUAGUUGAAACUUGG